rnacentral:lncRNA from 1 species
CAUACCAAGGGAAUACAGAGAAAAGCUGUCUUCAUAAAAUCCAAAGACUCCUGGGAUCCUCUCCUCAACAUAACAGACUCCUCUGUUUAUGUAACUAAAGGGAACUUAUGAUUUUUCAUGCCCAGCACAGUGCCUGUCACUCAGAGAGCAGAUGAUUAUUUGGUGAAUUUACUUGAGUCAAAAUGAACACCCAACCAACUCAUGAGCCUGCCAAGGAAGAGGAGAAGCUCUUUGGGACAAAGAGGAAAGAUUUCAACAGAAACUUACGAAAGAAGACAGACCAAAAAAAAUCCCUUAUUUGGAAGUUGAUGUGUGAUGCCAGUUCUGAGAGACUACAGUGGCUUUUAAUAUAA